rnacentral:rRNA from 1 species
UGGGGAAUUUUGGACAAUGGGCGAAAGCCUGAUCCAGCAAUGCCGCGUGUGUGAAGAAGGCCUUCGGGUUGUAAAGCACUUUUGUCCGGAAAGAAAUCCUUGGCUCUAAUACAGUCGGGGGAUGACGGUACCGGAAGAAUAAGCACCGGCUAACUACGUGCCAGCAGCCGCGGUAAUACGUAGGGUGCAAGCGUUAAUCGGAAUUACUGGGCGUAAAGCGUGCGCAGGCGGUCCGCUAAGACAGAUGUGAAAUCCCCCGGGCUUAACCUGGGAACUGCAUUUGUGACUGGCGGGCUAGAGUAUGGCAGAGGGGGGUAGAAUUCCACGUGUAGCAGUGAAAUGCGUAGAGAUGUGGAGGAAUACCGAUGGCGAAGGCAGCCCCCUUGGGCCAAUACUGACGCUCAUGCACGAAAAGCGUGGGGAGCAAACAGGAUUAGAUACCCUGGUAGUCCACGCCCUAAACGAUGUCAACUAGUUGUCGGG